CAGUCUAUGGUGCUGCCCCUUUAAAUCCCUUGGAGUGACGUGAGUUACCAUGGAAACGAGGCUACUAGGAACAACAGAAAGCGGCAAAGCACCGCUUUUCUUAUGGUUUUCUUCAUUUUUUCAGGAGUGACAAAAUAACCCCUCUAUAAUAAAAAAGAAGCUCAAGAUUUCAGCAUUUUGGAAGGGAGCUGCUGACAGAGAUGUUGUAAACUCAGAUUUGUUCAUGCUGAUGGCCAUGCAGCAGAGUUCAAGUAAACCUGUCAGAAAACAUCUCUAAGGGGCUAUGCAUGAACCAUAUGGCUAGAUACCCAUACAGGUUACAGAAGCUCCAGUAUGGAUCUAGCCUCACUUGUAAAGACUUCAGAUGACGCCUACACUCUCAGAGACUUCAGAUGAUGGCAACUGGAUGGACAUACAAAACUGCCAAACAUUAUAUAUAUAUUGCAAUCACUGCCUCAAAGCAUAAGUUUGCAGAGUUUCAAACCACUUUAUAUUUUUACAAUAAAUUGGGGUAUUUGAAUGGACAAUGUUUACGCUUUUUUUUUUCUUGAGUUGAACUUAAAUUCCCAAUUAGUUCUUGACAAUACUCUGCCAGAUGACAGAUUACAUAUAUUACAGACAUUGUAACAAUACAAAGUGGGUUGGAAAUCUGUAAACUUCCUCUAUAAUCAUAAUUGUCUGUUUAACUGAGCAUGACGUGAAACACACGUGAACAUAUGAACAUUACUUUGUUACUUAAUGAGAUAAAUGCUUAUCUCUAGUUUCACAGACAAGGCUUAAGCCUAUAGUCCUAGACUAAGACACAUGUUAAAGCUGUCUCAAUUGAAAAGAACUUUCAAUGCGACAUUUUAAAAUAGGCCAGUGCCAGUGAUUUUUCUUAAGAAAAAAAUUUUCUAAGGCAUGUUUAUUAAAGAUAUUUAAAC